CAGGUUGAAGGUUGGGUAACACUAACUGGAGGACCGAACCGACUAAUGUUGAAAAAUUAGCGGAUGACCUGUGGCUGGGGGUGAAAGGCCAAUCAAACCGGGAGAUAGCUGGUUCUCCCCGAAAGCUAUUUAGGUAGCGCCUCGUGAAUUCAUCUCCGGGGGUAGAGCACUGUUUCGGCUAGGGGGCCAUCCCGGCUUACCAACCCGAUGCAAACUGCGAAUACCGGAGAAUGUUAUCACGGGAGACACACGGCGGGUGCUAACGUCCGUCGUGAAGAGGGAAACAACCCAGACCGCCAGCUAAGGUCCCAAAGUCAUGGUUAAGUGGGAAACGAUGUGGGAAGGCCCAGACAGCCAGGAUGUUGGCUUAGAAGCAGCCAUCAUUUAAAGAAAGCGUAAUAGCUCACUGGUCGAGUCGGCCUGCGCGGAAGAUGUAACGGGGCUAAACCAUGCACCGAAGCUGCGGCAGCGACGCUGAUGCGUUGUUGGGUAGGGGAGCGUUCUGUAAGCCUGUGAAGGUGGCCUGUGAGGGUUGCUGGAGGUAUCAGAAGUGCGAAUGCUGACAUAAGUAACGAUAAAGCGGGUGAAAAGCCCGCUCGCCGGAAGACCAAGGGUUCCUGUCCAACGUUAAUCGGGGCAGGGUGAGUCGACCCCUAAGGCGAGGCCGAAAGGCGUAGUCGAUGGGAAACGGGUUAAUAUUCCCGUACUUGGUGUUACUGCGAAGGGGGGACGGAGAAGGCUAUGUUGGCCGGGCGACGGUUGUCCCGGUUUAAGCGUGUAGGUGUGUGUUCCAGGUAAAUCCGGUUCACUUUAACACUGAGGCGUGAUGACGAGGCACUACGGUGCUGAAGCAACAAAUGCCCUGCUUCCAGGAAAAGCCUCUAAGCAUCAGGUAACAUCAAAUCGUACCCCAAACCGACACAGGUGGUCAGGUAGAGAAUACCAAGGCGCUUGAGAGAACUCGGGUGAAGGAACUAGGCAAAAUGGUGCCGUAACU
rnacentral:rRNA from 1 species